rnacentral:lncRNA from 1 species
AAUAAAAAUUUAUACUUGCUGAGUGGAUGGUACAGAGCUUUUCACUUCAUCUUACAGAUAUCAAGGUAAAACGUAGAGGGAGCAGUAUGCAUCUGAGCUUCAGGGAGAGCUAAGAAUACAGCAUACCCAUUCACCAUGGAUCCUCAUUUGUUCUUUCUUGGAGGAAAGUUCUCAGUUCAACAGUUUAAAGUAGAAAGGGCUGUCAAGGCAUUUGCAGACUUUCCUGCUUUGCAUAGAAAUUAAUGCAGCUGUUCCUGACUGAGCUGAAGAUGACCACUUCCAGAGAGUCCUGUCCAUGUCCCAGUCUCCAUCUCCAUGUGAACAAACAGCUCCAGGUGUUUUUUAAGCAUCUGAAAUACAACUGCUGUUGUGCAAACGGAAAAUGAGCAGUGGUAUGGCAGCACAAACUCCUGUUCUCCUAGACUUGCAG